rnacentral:tRNA from 1 species
CGCCGUCUGGGCGGUGCCCUCGACGCCUGCGGCCUUCAGCGCCGCGCGAAUCGCGGCGGGGUUGGAGACGUCCUGGGUGACGA